GGCAGCAGCUAAGAAUAUUCCGCAAUGGACGAAAGUCUGACGGAGCGACGCCGCGUGGAUGAUGAAGGCCGGAAGGUUGUAAAAUCCUUUUAUGACUGAGGAAUAAGUGAAGUGAGAGAAACGCUUCAUGGUGACUGUAGGUCGUGAAUAAGCAACGGCUAAUUACGUGCCAGCAGCCGCGGUAACACGUAAGUUGCGAGCGUUGUUCGGAAUUAUUGGGCGUAAAGGGUAUGUAGGCGGUUCUGCAAGUCUGGUGUGAAAUUCCGGGGCUCAACCCCGGGACUGCGUUGGAAACUGCAGGACUUGAAUCGCUGAGGGGCAGCCAGAAUUCCAGGUGUAGGGGUGAAAUCUGUAGAUAUCUGGAAGAAUACCAAUGGCGAAGGCAGGCUGCCAGCAGAUGAUUGACGCUGAGGUACGAAGGUGCGGGGAGCAAACAGGAUUAGAUACCCUGGUAGUCCGCACAGUCAACUAUGUACACUGGGUGUCCGCACAUGAGUGUGGGUGCCGAAGCAAACGCGAUAAGUGUACCGCCUGGGGAGUAUGCCCGCAAGGGUGAAACUCAAAGGAAUUGACGG
rnacentral:rRNA from 1 species